UCCCUUUUGAUGGGCACCCCGGGAACUGGGGCCUAUCCCUGAUAGGUGAGGAGGCCUGGAACGGUUCCUCGCCUAAAAGACGUUGAGACCAUGCCUUUCAAUGUUGCCUAAGGAUGGGGCCGCGGCCGAUCAGGUUGUUGGUGAGGCAACGGCUCACCAAGCCUAUAACCGGUACGGGCCCUGAGAGGGGUGGCCCGGAGAUGGGAACUGAGAAAAGGUCCCAGGCCCUACGGGGCGCAGCAGGCGCGAAAACUCCACAAUGCAUGAAAGUGUGAUGGGGUUAUCCCGAGUGCCGUCCGAUGAGGAUGGCUUUUGCCCGGUUUAAGGAGCCGGGUGAAUAAGAGGGGGGCAAGACUGGUGUCAGCCGCCGCGGUAAUACCAGCUCCUCGAGUGGUAGGGACGAUUAUUUGGCCUAAAGCGUUCGUAGCCUGCCCAGCAAGUCCUUUGUGAAAUCCGGCGAUCCAAUCGUCGGGCGUGCAUAGGAUACUGUUGGGCUUGGGGACGGGAGAAGUCGAUGGUACUCUCGGUGUAGGGGUGAAAUCCUAUAAUCCCAAGAGGACCACCAGUGGCGAAGGCGGUCGACUAGAACGUGCCCGACGGUGAGGGACGAAAGCUGGGGGAGCGAACCGGAUUAGAUACCCGGGUAGUCCCAGCUGUAAACGAUGCAGGCUAGGUGUUGGGUCAGCCACGAGCUGCCCCAGUGCCGCAGGGAAGCUAUUAAGCCUGCCGUCUGGGAAGUACGGUCGCAAGGCUGAAACUUAAAGGAAUUGGCGGGGGAGCAC
rnacentral:rRNA from 1 species